UUCACACGAGGAGUAAGGUACCGUUAGGGUCGCGAGUCUUCACUCAACAUCGCCAGUGGGCUAUGAUGGGACUGAUCGUUAUUAUUCUACUACUUUUCCGCUGUUUAAUAGAAUAAAGCUAGCUAAGUGCUAUGCAGAUUGUUAUAUUUUAUAAAUUAUGGAUCAUACCUUGUAAUAAAUGAUGCACUUGCUAUUCUGGUAUUCAUCUAUACUGUGUGUG
rnacentral:lncRNA from 1 species